UAGGUACCUCAGAUGAGUGGAAUUAUGCAGUAUUUGUCCUUUUGUGUGUACAACUAAUUUGACAGGCAGUAUGAUAAGGAACAAUCUGAAUGACACGUAAGCAGGAGGGGGUAAAUUCCAAGCACAGCCUGAAUGAGAAGUACAACUCAUUUCGUGUAACCUAGAUGCCUUUUUAACCCAUCUAUGCAGUCUCCAUGUGAAACCAGGUGCUGUUCCCAAAGGAGAAAACACUGCCCUCCAGUGGUCUUCAAUGAAGAAAUGGAAAUAGUUUCAGGUGGAAACCAGGCUUCUUGGAAGACUUCAGACUAUGCCAAAUGGUCUGAUUUCACCAUAGAGAUUCUUUGCUGAAGAAUGCAGCUGUAUUAAAGGAAGAAAGAAAACCAAGCUACAGCUCCUUAUAAUUCAACAAGCAUUUAAAAGGUUUAUAAAGAUGGUGCAAUUAUGUAUUUAAGCUGCUUCAACACAAGUUCUUGCCUUUCACUCCCACCCUGUGGCUUACACUGGUAUUACAUCUAUUCUGACA
rnacentral:lncRNA from 1 species